CCGAACCGGCAUCCUGUACCUGUGGUGUCCUAGGAUCCCUAAUAUAAAGUUCCUUCCAGGGUCCUCGGUACACACUCGCAGGAACUUCCUCCGUGGAACAUCUCCGCGAAUACUUGCAACUUCUGUUGUUUUAAUACGGUCUGAAGAUCUGAAAGCGCGAUGGGCCGUCACUCUCUCGUUGGCGUUAUACUUGCCCUGGUCCUGGCGUCUGUGCUGGCGGCGGCGACCCCUUGUCCGAUACAGAAAAGUCCACGGUAUCUGCCUCACAGUAUGGACUGCUGGAUAACCUGGAGGAAUCCGAGAACUUAUUAAAGAUAAGUAAGAGACACGCUGAGAUACAUCAUGUUGCAAAGGUAAG